AACGGGGGGGGGCAAGUGUUACUCGUCUUGACUGGGCGUAAAGGGUGCCUAGGUUGUUGUUUUAAUUUUUGCUUAAAUACUUGGUCUUAAGCUGAGCUAAAGCAUUUGUAUUGAACUUCUUGAGUAUUGCUUAGGCAGAUAGUACCCUCAGUGUAGAGGUAGAAUUCUGUGAUAUUGAAGGGGACUUCCAGAGGCGAAGGCGAUCUUCCUAGCAAUACUGACACUAAAGCACGAAAGCGUGGGGAGCAAACAGG
rnacentral:rRNA from 1 species